rnacentral:rRNA from 1 species
GACGAACGCUGGAGGCGUGCUUAACACAUGCAAGUCGAACGAUGAAAUGGAGCUUGCUCCAUGGAUUAGUGGCGAACGGGUGAGUAACACGUGAAUAACCUGCCCGUAAUUUUGGAAUAACUCAGGGAAACCUGGGCUAAUACCGGAUAAGUAAACCUGUGGCAUCACAUGGUUUUGGAAAGUUUUUCGAUUAAGGAUGGAUUCGCGGCCUAUCAGCUUGUUGGUGAGGGAAUGGCUGACCAAGGCGACGACGGGUAGCCGGCCUGGGAGCGUGAAAGGCCACACUGGGACUGACACACGGCCCAGACUCCUACGGGAGGCAGCAGUGGGGAAUAUUGCGCAAUGGACGAAAGUCUGACGCAGCGACGCCUCGUGAGGGACGAAGGUCUUCGGAUUGUAAUCCUCUUUCAGCAGGGACGAAGCGAAAGUGACGGUACCUGCAGAAGAAGCACCGGCUAACUAUGUGCCAGCCGCCGCAGUAA